rnacentral:rRNA from 1 species
CCUACGGGCGGCAGCAGUGAGGAAUAUUGGUCAAUGGGCGUAAGCCUGAACCAGCCAAGUCGCGUGAGGGAUGAAGGUUCUAUGGAUCGUAAACCUCUUUUAUAAGGGAAUAAAGUGUGGGACGUGUCCUAUUUUGUAUGUACCUUAUGAAUAAGGCUCGGCUAACUCCGUGCCAGCAGCCGCGGUAAUACGGAGGAUCCGAGCGUUAUCCGGAUUUAUUGGGUUUAAAGGGUGCGUAGGCGGCCUUUUAAGUCAGCGGUGAAAGUCUGUGGCUCAACCAUAGAAUUGCCGUUGAAACUGGGGGUCUUGAGUAUGUUUGAGGCAGGUGGAAUGCGUGGUGUAGCGGUGAAAUGCGUAGAGAUCACGCAGAACCCCGAUUGCGAAGGCGGCCUGCCAGGCCAUGACUGACGCUGAUGCACGAAAGCGUGGGGAUCAAACAGGAUUAGAUACCCCAGUAGUC